UGUCAACACCGAUGCUGAAGUGGAAAGUAUGUGGAGGCCGACAUAUAUGGAAACCCUCCCUCUCAGGACCCACGAGGGAAGACGGGGGUUGUGACACGAGCCAUUUGUUUCGGUGCAUUAAAGGAGACGCUUAGAGUCGAUUCCCAGACUUUGGUCUUGCACGGGGCCGUCGGGAGCUCAAUGUGGCUGGUUGCUGCUCACCCUCUUAAUCCAAACGGCAACCACUGGUCCUCCUAGCGCCAUAGUUUGCACUCAUGAAUGCCAUCUUGGUUUAAAAUCAAAAUGUCUUUUGGGAAAAGCAGAGACUUUAGCGUCCAUUUACAUGAUUAUAUACAGAAGGUACUUCUCAUCUUUCAUGCCAUGAAACGGCAAUACAGCAUUUGCCCCCUGACCACCGAUCACUAAUAAAUCACCCCAUUAUACCCAAUAUCUGCAAGCUGAGGACAAUGUGGCUUUCUAGACUUUGCUGUAAAAUUGAAAAAGAAACCUGUCAGGCAAGAUACAAAAAAUGAGACUUCCAUGCAAAGUUAAAAGUAAGCAGAACAACGCUACACUGUCCAGGUGAUAACAAUUAAAUAACCACCUUCUCUGUCAGCAAUCCUUCGACCAACCAACCUUUCAGCACAGGUCUAAUUUAACUGUAAAUUUGGGUUUGCUGUUGCUGCGCCGUCUGAUUGAGUCCCCUUCACGGUUUGUCCAAAUCCAGGUCCAGAUAUGGAAGAGAAGGCACUCAGAGCAACAGCGUCCAGCAAGGGAAAUCCUGACCGACUGAGGAGGGCUUUGCGGAAAGAAACCUCCUCCCCUGGUGUCUACCUCCUCCGGACAUACCUUUCCAUCACUCCCCUCUCUCUGCAGCUUCCUGGACUUAGCGGUUGCUGCCUCUCGUUGAAAACUGGCCUCUCAGCGCUCACUCUGUUCGGCGAUUGAAAUUGAAGUGCCCCGUCCACCCGUAGCCACUCCACUCAUCCUGUCCUUCUUGUGGUCUCUCCUUACUCCACCGCACUCCUCCUUUCUUCGCAGUCUGUCCAUCUGAUUCGCCAUCGGAGCGUUCCUCCUCCCCUUCCUCCCUCCAGCCCCUCUGUUAUUCCAUAACUUUGGGCAACCGCAGACUUUCUCCCCUCCUCUCCUCGACUCCCUCUUUCCUGCUCCAAAGUGACCCUCGUUUUUCCACCACAUCCGAGUCCAGCAGGUCAGAAGAGGAUAACUGAUGACUCUGUACUCGCUAAUGCAUCAAGAUGGGAAAUGGAGGUAUGUGUGUGUGUGUGUGUGUGUGAAUAAAUCCAUUGGUCUGGUUGGAGAUGGGAGACAGAGAUGGAAAGCCAGAGUGAGAGGGAUCAAUAUCUUUGUGGUGAGGUGGUGGUGGAGCUUCCCCUCUUUUUCCGUCUCUGCGUCAUACCCUUCAACAGAAAAAUAUAAAUCAACUAUCUAUAAUAAAACCAUUCAAAUCUG